GUCUACAGUCAUGCUGCCCGGAACAAGCCCAUCCCGUCUGAUCUCGGAAGCUAAGCAGGGUCGGGCCUGGUUAGUACUUGGAUGGGAGACCACCUAGGAAGACCAGGUACUAGAGGCU
rnacentral:rRNA from 1 species